AUGGGGAGAACAGCACAUAUACUAAAACUGGAGCCAUACAGAAAGAAGUAGCAUGUCCCCUGUGCAAGCAUGGCAUGAAAAAUUGUGAAGCAUUCCAUAUUUAA
rnacentral:snRNA from 1 species